GCCACCUUAGCUCAGUUGGUCAGAGCAGCUCACUUGUAAUGAGCAGGUCCGGGGUUCGAAUCCCCGAGGUGGCUCCA
rnacentral:tRNA from 2 species